rnacentral:rRNA from 1 species
AGCGAACGCUGGCGGCAGGCUUAACACUUGCAAGUCGAACGGGCAUCUUCGGAUGUCAGUGGCAGACGGGUGAGUAACACGUGGGAACGUACCCUUCGGUUCGGAAUAACUCAGGGAAACUUGAGCUAAUACCGGAUACGCCCUUUUGGGGAAAGGUUUACUGCCGAAGGAUCGGCCCGCGUCUGAUUAGCUUGUUGGUGGGGUAACGGCCUACCAAGGCGACGAUCAGUAGCUGGUCUGAGAGGAUGAUCAGCCACACUGGGACUGAGACACGGCCCAGACUCCUACGGGAGGCAGCAGUGGGGAAUAUUGGACAAUGGGCGCAAGCCUGAUCCAGCCAUGCCGCGUGAGUGAUGAAGGCCUUAGGGUUGUAAAGCUCUUUUGUCCGGGACGAUAAUGACGGUACCGGAAGAAUAAGCCCCGGCUAACUUCGUG